GACGAACGCUGGUGGCGUGCUUAACACAUGCAAGUCGAACGGAAAGGCCCUGCUUUUGUGGGGUGCUCGAGUGGCGAGCGGGUGAGUAACACGUGAGUAACCUGCCCUUGACUUUGGGAUAACUUCAGGAAACUGGGGCUAAUACCGGAUAGGAGCUCCUGCUGCAUGGUGGGGGUUGGAAAGUUUCGGCGGUUGGGGAUGGACUCGCGGCUUAUCAGCUUGUUGGUGGGGUAGUGGCUUACCAAGGCUUUGACGGGUAGCCGGCCUGAGAGGGUGACCGGCCACAUUGGGACUGAGAUACGGCCCAGACUCCUACGGGAGGCAGCAGUGGGGAAUAUUGCACAAUGGGCGGAAGCCUGAUGCAGCAACGCCGCGUGAGGGAUGACGGCCUUCGGGUUGUAAACCGCUUUCGCCUGUGACGAAGCGUGAGUGACGGUAAUGGGUAAAGAAGCACCGGCUAACUACGUGCCAGCAGCCGCGGUGAUACGUAGGGUGCGAGCGUUGUCCGGAUUUAUUGGGCGUAAAGGGCUCGUAGGUGGUUGAUCGCGUCGGAAGUGUAAUCUUGGGGCUUAACCCUGAGCGUGCUUUCGAUACGGGUUGACUUGAGGAAGGUAGGGGAGAAUGGAAUUCCUGGUGGAGCGGUGGAAUGCGCAGAUAUCAGGAGGAACACCAGUGGCGAAGGCGGUUCUCUGGGCCUUUCCUGACGCUGAGGAGCGAAAGCGUGGGGAGCGAACAGGCUUAGAUACCCUGGUAGUCCACGCUGUAAACGGUGGGUACUAGGUGUGGGGUCCAUUCCACGGGUUCCGUGCCGUAGCUAACGCUUUAAGUACCCCGCCUGGGGAGUACGGCCGCAAGGCUAAAACUCAAAGGAAUUGACGGGGCCCCGCACAAGCGGCGGAGCAUGCGGAUUAAUUCGAUGCAACGCGUAGAACCUUACCUGGGUUUGACAUGGAUCGGGAGCGCUCAGAGAUGGGUGUGCCUCUUUUGGGGUCGGUUCACAGGUGGUGCAUGGCUGUCGUCAGCUCGUGUCGUGAGAUGUUGGGUUAAGUCCCGCAACGAGCGCAACCCUUGUUCACUGUUGCCAGCACGUUAUGGUGGGGACUCAGUGGAGACCGCCGGGGUCAACUCGGAGGAAGGUGGGGAUGACGUCAAGUCAUCAUGCCCCUUAUGUCCAGGGCUUCACGCAUGCUACAAUGGCUGGUACAGAGAGUGGCGAGCCUGUGAGGGUGAGCGAAUCUCGGAAAGCCGGUCUCAGUUCGGAUUGGGGUCUGCAACUCGACCUCAUGAAGUCGGAGUCGCUAGUAAUCGCAGAUCAGCAACGCUGCGGUGAAUACGUUCCCGGGGCU
rnacentral:rRNA from 1 species